rnacentral:misc_RNA from 1 species
GUAUUGAUCGCGUAUCACCGCAAAAAGAAAAUACAUUCUACACUGCUUUAAGGUUUGUGUGAAAAAACGUGGGCCCCCCCUUCCAGGGGAACUCACGCGGUUGUGCACAAAGGGGUAAAAUGGAUGUGCGAGGGCACUCGGGCGUGCACAACCUUUUUUUGGAAGGCCAGCGACAGCCCUUGUACCUUCGUUGUAUGAUAAUGAUCCUUCCGCAGGUUCACCUACGGAAA